rnacentral:rRNA from 1 species
AGAUUGAACGCUGGCGGCAUGCCUUACACAUGCAAGUCGAACGGUAGAGUAGCAAUACUCGAGAGUGGCGAACGGGUGAGUAAUAUAUCGGAACGUGCCCAGUCGUGGGGGAUAACGUAGAGAAAUUUACGCUAAUACCGCAUACGAUCUACGGAUGAAAGCGGGAGAUUCGCAAGAACCUCGCGCGAUUGGAGCGGCUGAUAUCAGAUUAGGUUGUUGGUGAGGUAAAAGCUCACCAAGCCGACGAUCUGUAGCUUGGUUUGAGAGAACGACCAGCCACACUGGGACUGAGACACGGCCCAGACUCCGUACGGGAGGCAGCAGGUGGGGU